rnacentral:rRNA from 1 species
AUUGAACGCUGGCGGCAGGCUUAACACAUGCAAGUCGAGCGGGGUGAUGGUGCUUGCACUAUCACUUAGCGGCGGACGGGUGAGUAAUGCUUAGGAAUCUGCCUAUUAGUGGGGGACAACAUCUCGAAAGGGAUGCUAAUACCGCAUACGUCCUACGGGAGAAAGCAGGGGAUCACUUGUGACCUUGCGCUAAUAGAUGAGCCUAAGUUGGAUUAGCUAGUUGGUGGGGUAAAGGCUUACCAAGGCGACGAUCUGUAGCGGGUCUGAGAGGAUGAUCCGCCACACUGGGACUGAGACACGGCCCAGACUCCUACGGGAGGCAGCAGUGGGGAAUAUUGGACAAUGGGGGGAACCCUGAUCCAGCCAUGCCGCGUGUGUGAAGAAGGCCUUAUGGUUGUAAAGCACUUUAAGCGAGGAGGAGGCUCUUUUGGUUAAUACCCAAGAUGAGUGGAUGUUACUCGCAGAAUAAGCACCGGCUAACUCUGUGCCAGCAGCCGCCGUAA